AUGUCCCCAGGGGUGUCCCCAGUGUCCCUUGGUGGAUGUCCCCAGUGUUCCCUGGCAUCCCCAGUGUCCUGCAGUGUCCCCCGGGGGUGUCCCCAGUGGUGUCCCUCAGUAUCCUGCAGUGUCCCCAGUGACCCCCAGGGGUGUCCCCUCAGUGUCCCCAUUGUCCCCAGGCUGUCCCCAUUGUCCCCAGGUCCCACCUGUGCCCGCCUCGCCCAGCCCGUUGCGCACGGCCAGCGCGGGGCCCCGUGCCGGCCGCCUGCCGCCGCUGCCGCCGCCGAAGCCGCCGCCGCCGUUGUUGUAGCCGUCGUAGGAGCCGCUGCCGCCGUAGCCGCGGCUGCCGCCCGAGUACCCGGGGCCGCCGCCGCCGCCGUACCCUGGGGACGGGACAGGGCUGAGAGAGGGGAGAGAACGGCACGGGCAGGGCCGGGCACGGCUGGGCACGGGUGGGCUGCGGGGAUGGGAGUCCUGGCACUGCCCUGGGGCUGGGGCCUGGCCUGGUGCAGGGCUUGGGCCUGGCCUGGCACUGCCCCGGGGCUGGGGCAUGACCUGGCAUUGCCCUGGGGCUCAUCCUGGUGCUGCCCCAAGGCUGGCACUGCCCCCGGGGCUGGAACCUGGCCUGGUGCAGGGCUUGAGCUUGGCCUGGCACUGCCCCAGGGCUGGUACUGCCCCCAAGGCUGGGGCACGGCCUGGUGGUGCCCUGGGGCUGGGGUCCAGCCUGGCACUGCCCCCAGGGCUCAGGCCCGGCCUGCUGCAGGGCUCGGGGCUGGCCUGGCGGUGCCCCCAGGGCUGUACCCACACCUGGCACAGCACUCAGGCCCAGGCUGGCACUGCCCUGGAGCCAGGACCUGGCCUGGCACAGGACUCGGGCCCGGCCUGGCCUUACCGUCAGCACCAUAUCCAUUAAAUCCGUCGCCGCGGCCGCCGCCAAAUCCACCUGCAAAGAACAAACCGGGCUGGGGCCCCGGAGCCCGGGGGGAGCCCGGCGGGUCCCCGUGCCCCAUCCCUGUCCCCGUGUCCCCGUGUCCCCGUGUCCCCGUGUCCCCGUGCCGUCACUCACCACGGCCGCCAAAGUUGCCGCCACGGUUGAAGUUGUCACCGCCGCCGAAGCCGCCGCGGCCGCCGCCGCCGAAGUUUCCGGAACCGCUGCGGCCUGGGGGGGGCACAGGCUUAGGGGGGCACGGGGGGCACUGGGGGGGCACAGAGGGCACGGGGGGCACCGGGCGCUCACCUCGCUGCCCGGCCGAGGCGCUGGCCAUCUCCUGCUUGGACAGAGCUUUGCGCACCUCGCAGUUGUGCCCGUUCACCGUGUGGUACUUCUGGACUGCGGGGACACCGGGGACACCGCGGGGUCAGCACGGGUGGCACCGACCCGGCCAGGGUGGC
rnacentral:lncRNA from 1 species